UCAGUUGGCAUCUGGAUCCCUUUGACAUACCCCCAUCAUUGUGGAGUUCCUUUGUUUGAGCACUUUCUGCCUUUCAGGUACUAUGCAUGCUCUAGGCCUAGAAUUAACCAUCUUUUCAAAAAGGCUUGCUUCCUUUUGUUGGAGAAUGGUGUUAGAAACCAUGAUCUGAGUGCUAGGUGUACUUGCAGCAAUCUGAGUCAUUGUUUCUCGGUCCUCUUAGCUAACAGAACAAGGAAAUAUAUGUGUGUAUAUUAACUAGUAUAUAUACAUGUAUCUAUAAAUAUCUCUCUAUCUAUAACCAUCUGCUUCUACAUUAAGCCAAACAUGAGUUCAUACUGAUGUCUCCAACUCUAAUAUGUUGCCACAAGGAACAUUCCAGCUUUCUCCCUUUGCUUAUCUGUAACCUCUCUAACUACAACAGGGAAAAAUCGGGCUCCCAUCAUCCAUUCACUUGAUUGUUCUACUCCAGCAUUCAUAUAUAAUGGUUUCAGAACAGUUAACCCAUAUACUAAUGGAAAAAAAUUUCAUCUAGAGUACAAAUCUUUUCUUUAAUUUUUAUUUUUUAAAUAUAUUUUUAAUUUCAAUACUGCCACUUUAAUAAAAGUUGCCCAGCACCACCAGCUUGCCCUUGAAUUCUUUCCUGGGAAAAGCCAAGAACUCUCCUGGGCUAAGCUCCGGUUUUGGGGCUCACCUGUCCUGUAUCAACUAGAAAGCUUUAUGUGACUUAAAACAGGCUCAUUAAGAGAUGAUUCAGUCCCAGGGUUGUUGGGUGAUGUUCCAAGGGGCCCAGGAGGGGAUGCCUUGAGGAAGGAAGAGAUAGUGUUACUGACAAAGCCAGUCCUCCAAAAGAUGGGUUCUUUCUUUGUUUGGUGUCAUGAAGCCAAUAUGUGAAACCAAAAGUGAUUGUCAGGCAAUGCAGGCUUCAUUUGAUGGCCGUGGAACUGAGAAGCAGGAGCGUGGCUCACAAAUCAACUUCUCAGUUCAUGAGAGCUAGGAAGCCACAGAUAUGGGGCACCUUAAAUGUAGGUGUUGGGUAUUAAAAGCAAGGAUAGGAAUAUUCAUGUCUUUUCCAGAAAUAGGCAGACAAUUUCUCAGGACCAGAGUGCUGCCUUCCUUUUUGUCCUUUUAUGGUUUCUUCCAGUCAUUGUCAUGGUGAUUGUCAAUAGUCAUGGGCUGGAGGGAAGGUCAUUUAGCAUGGAAAUUAGAUUAUAAUGAAGUUAGAGGUUCUGCAGAGGUCAAGUGAGCUGCCGUCUUGGAUCCUUCCAGUUUCAGCCAAUUUGGUCGCCAGGGGAAACUUCUAAUUGCAAGCAUCCUGUUUCUUAAAGAU
rnacentral:lncRNA from 1 species